rnacentral:ncRNA from 1 species
GGUACCGGCGGGGAGAAUAGGGAACCGGGUGAAAAUCCCGGACGGUACCGCCGCUGUAUGCGCCGAUACUCCCCCCGCGCAAGUUUGUCACUGGGAAACCGGGAAGACAAGGGAGGGGACUGCGGAAGCAAUUCCGCCCGGCGCGAGUCAGAAGACCUGCUUGAA